rnacentral:lncRNA from 1 species
AGGAAACCCGUGAUACCGCACCACUAGUUCUAGAAGGAGCGACACAUUCAGAGCCCCAGCCUGCAGCCCCCUGAGUCACGCUUUGGCCGCAUCUUCCUCCAGGACAUUCCCUGUGGUGCUGCACGAGGUGUUAAUUCAGUUAAAGAUCUGGGAACAAAGAGUUCACGAGGACGCGUGGAAG